ACAAAGGAGGAUUUUCCAGGAUC
rnacentral:piRNA from 1 species